GUGUAUGUGUCUGUUAGUGUGUGUGUGUAUGUUAGUGUGAGUGUGUUUGCCUGUGAGUGUGUGUCUGUUAAUGUGUGUGUGUUUGUUAGUGUGUGUGAGUUUGUGUGUGUGUCUGCUAGUGAGUGUGUGUCUGUUAGUGUGUGUGUCUGACUGUGUUUGUCUGUUAGUGUGUGUGUGUCUGCUAGUGAGUGUGUGUGUCUGACUGUGUGUGUGU